UUUGCCUCUUCCCAACCAUCUUUGACAGUUGGUCUCUCCUUCCCAGAGACAUAUUUAAAAGCCAAGCUCAGAGAGGAUAUGACUUACAGGAAGUGUGAGCAGUAAACAGGACUGAGAAAUGAAAUAUGCAGCGAAGUGGGCUCGGCUGAAGAGAGCACUAUGACCUUUUGUCUCUGAUCAGAGAACCUGGAUACGGAAGACUUGCUAAGUUUCAAGCCGAUUGAACAAAGGGGUUUGAUUUUACUGAAGUCGGGCUCUCUCUCAGCAGGCAAGCUUCUCUUUCUGAUUCCUGUGGGGGAGAGGGAAGGCAGUCAAGUGGCAGUCUAGCAAAACAGUACCAACAGGCCAUCAUCAUUAAAAAAGAAGCAAAACCUGCAUUCAUUUAA